rnacentral:rRNA from 1 species
CGAGGAAUAUUGCUCAAUGGGCGCAAGCCUGAAGCAGCGACGCCGCGUGGGUGAUGAAGGCCUUCGGGUCGUAAAACCCUUUUCUGCGUGACGAGAGAGGGCGGUAGCGCAGGAAUAAGUCUCGGCUAACUACGUGCCAGCAGCCGCGGUAAAACGUAGGAGACGAGCGUUAUCCGGAGUUACUGGGCGUAAAGGGCGUGCAGGCGGUUAGUUAAGUCAGAUGUGAAAGCUCCCGGCUAAACCGGGAGAG